UUCUGUCAGAAUAGGGAAACAUCAAAUUCUCCAAAGCAGUUAGCCAAGCUUACGAUUACAUUACAUAUUUGGAAUCACUAAUAAAAUUAAACAACAACUAUCUCUUUAGUUUUGUUUCUAAGUGUUCGAAUCAAACUAAAUCAACAUUUUUUUCAGGUUGAUCGAGCUAAUGUGCAUGUGCACAUUAGAAACGAGAUCACGACACCAACCUCAUUUAUGCCCGUUCUACACAUUAUCAUCCUCUGGGUUCUGGAGUCCACUGGGGUUGAAGCUGGACAUUAAACCAAACUACUAUGAAUCACAAGAGCUGUGCAUGCUAUCAAAUGGAAUAUAUAUGACAGAAGGUGACGCAAGAUCGACACAAAAGAAGACAUCUUUUAUCUGGUAAGCCCAACAUAACCCAGCAGAUCUCCAGUCAGUGGGACUCCACCAAACCCCCCGCUUCCAGCGCUUGAGCAGCGGCCGCCACGGGGAGCUUCUUCCGCCGCAUUAUUCACAGCCAUGCACUGCUUUAAACUGAAGCGCUAGCAGAGGCAAAUCUCCAUGUGUUCCUCUUUGUUCUCAGCCAGAAGUCUUGUUUCCUCCUCAUCUGUAAUUUCAGCAUCUUCAGCCGAAAAAAAGACAUGUUUCCAGGGCAAAAAUCACAAGAGGUUACAGACGAGCUGAUGGAGGAGAAGCUGAACUCUUCUGACGUGCACUGAACCACAGGCCAAACUUUAGAACUGUUGUUUGAUGUUUAAUGUAGCUCAAUUAAUUUUGAAUGUUUGAUAUAGUUAGCACAACUAAAAAAUAAUUAGCG